GCAACAGCUUGCCGCCGGCUGACGUGCUGCUCCGCUUCCUGGUCGAGUUCUCCACCGAGGCGCGCACGCCCUGCGCCAACUGCGAGACCACCGAGAAUAUCAGCAUGUUCUUCUGCAACACCUGCGGCCAGGCGCUGUGUGAGCGCUGCAAGAACGAGACGCACCGCGCCAAGAUGUUCUCCAUGCACGAGGUUAUGACGCUGUCGGAGCGACUGCGCAAGGCCUGCAAGCAGUGUGCGGUGCACAACGAGCCCCACAUCAUGUUCAGCACGGACAAGAAGGAGCUGCUCUGCAUC